GAUGAACGCUGACAGAAUGCUUAACACAUGCAAGUCUUUGGCGAAUCUGUGCUUGCACAGGCUAGCCAAGGCGGACGGGUGAGUAACGCGUAAAGAACUUGCCCUGCAGACAGGGAUAACAGACGGAAACGACUGAUAACACCUGAUACAGUUGCCGGCACGCAUGUGCCUGGCAAUGAAAAGAGAUGCUGCAGGAGAGCUUUGCGUCCUAUUAGCUUGUUGGUGAGGUGACGGCUCACCAAGGCGAUGAUAGGUAGCCGGCCUGAGAGGGUGAACGGCCACAAGGGGACUGAGAGACGGCCCUUACUCCUACGGGAGGCAGCAGUGGGGAAUAUUGGACAAUGGGGGCAACCCUGAUCCAGCAAUUCUGUGUGCACGAAGAAGGUUUUCGGAUUGUAAAGUGCUUUCAGCAGGGAAGAAGAAAGUGACGGUACCUGCAGAAGAAGCGACGGCUAAAUACGUG
rnacentral:rRNA from 1 species